rnacentral:rRNA from 1 species
GGGAUUGCCCUAGUAACGGCGAGUGAAGCGGCAACAGCUCAAAUUUGAAAUCUGGCGCAAGCCCGAGUUGUAAUUUGUAGAGGAUGCUUCUGGGUAGCGACCGGUCUAAGUUCCUUGGAACAGGACGUCAUAGAGGGUGAGAAUCCCGUAUGUGACCGGCCCGCACCCUCCACGUAGCUCCUUCGACGAGUCGAGUUGUUUGGGAAUGCAGCUCUAAAUGGGAGGUAAAUUUCUUCUAAAGCUAAAUACCGGCCAGAGACCGAUAGCGCACAAGUAGAGUGAUCGAAAGAUGAAAAGUACUUUGGAAAGAGAGUUAAAAAGCACGUGAAAUUGUUGAAAGGGAAGCGCCUGCAAUCAGACUUCGCGGCAGUGUUCCGCCGGUCUUCUGAUCGGUCUAUUCUCUGUCGCGAGGCCAUCAUCGUCUCGGCCCGCUGGAUAAGACCUUGGGAAUGUAGCUCGCCUUCGGGAGAGUGUUAUAGCUCAUGGUGAUGCAGCGAGGCUGGGGCGAGGUCCGCGCUUCGGCAAGGAUGAUGGCGUAAUGGUUGUCGGCGGCCCGUCUUGAAACACGGACCAAGGAGUCUAACAUCUAUGCGAGUGUUCGGGUGUCAAACCCCUACGCGUAAUGAAAGUGAACGGAGGUGGGAACCGCAAGGUGCACCAUCGACCGAUCCUGAUGUCCUCGGAUGGAUUUGAGUAAGAGCAUAGCUGUUGGGACCCGAAAGAUGGUGAACUAUGCCUGAAUAGGGUGAAGCCAGAGGAAACUCUGGUGGAGGCUCGCAGCGGUUCUGACGUGCAAAUCGAUCGUCAAAUUUGGGUAUAGGGGCG